AAAUUAGAUGACCCCCAGCGAGCAAGGAUCAACUACACAUCAACGCGAUCCUUUGCUGUCGACGACGCAAAUCUGUAUGCGAACACCAAUUUCGCGGAUUACAUCGGUUGGCACGGAAGAUCAAUAGCGCAUUGGAAGUGUAAGGUAUGCGAUAAACUUUUCAAGACAUGGGUAAUUCCUUCCCAUGUCUGGUUAUCCCAUACCGAUGGAUCAUUAAAAUGCGAUGUAGAAGGAUGCGACUUCGUUUGCCAUGGCGUCUGUACAAUGAGAGACCACUACGCCACACAUUAACUGGUCAGUCCACUGAAGAACAAGCUGGCAUAAAUUCAACUGAGAGGUAUUCCCUCAAGCUCUGAGAUACUAAUGACCAGCCUAGUUCUUCCAUCCGUAUUGGGUCAACACAUUACGAAUCAUUCAAGCUCUGUGGAUUCAUUGACCAGGUGGUUUCUCAUUGUAGUGAUGAUGCAGCAUAGAGUGUUGCAUUCUCUACAUUGCAUUUCAAUGAUACAGCGAUAUGAGUCAACCAGACAUGGGAAGUAAUUAUCCAUGUUUUGAAAGGAGUAUCGAAUUACUUGUACCUCCAAAGCGAUGUAGAUCUACCGACCCAAGUGAUGGACUCCGUGAAAUUGGUGUUCGUCUAGACGGUAAAGGAUCACGUUGGUGUUAUGCGUAUCCAAGGACGUUGGGGAUCUUUUAACAUCAAAUGACUCAGCAUCGCUCUUGUUUUACUUGCAUCGUUGUCAUUAUCAUCACUUGAACUUCCUGAAGAUAAAACAGCGGGUUUACUGCUACCCGCUUGAUCGACUGUGAGAUACUUCUUGAUGAUACUAUCCUGUAGGUUGAUUCAUGACCUCGGGCCGUACUUAGGAAGCUGAGUAUUAUCCGGAGAUUACGACGAGUCGCUAGACACUGGUGAAGCUGGAGCUGCACUAGACGACUCAUCAGCAUCAGAAAUCUCACUUUCAGGUGACGCUGAAGAAAUAAACAUCCGGAAAAUCAUCUUGUGAUAAAGCUCGUGGUGAAUUAGAUGACUGAUUCGUACUAGUCAAUUCUCGAGCUGAUUCCGAUUGCCGAUUUUCUUCUUCAGACUGUUGUUCGACUGGAGCUGCAUCGGCUAGUAAACCUUGAGGUGAAGGUGAUACUCCAAGUGGCGUAACAACAGGUUGGCAAUGCGCCAUUCGCUGAUUCUCUAUAUGGGCUCUUAAAUCUUGUAUUCCUGCAUCGUGUCGGGUUUGCAGAAGGUUGAACGCAGCAAGGAGUUUGUUAUCCUGAGCAUCGUAUCGAACUGUAAGAUCGUUGAUCUUAGCCUCGUAAUCAACUUUGAGGUUGUUGAUACCAGCAUCAUGUCAAUCUCACAGUUCGUUGAUCUGAGCCUGGUGUUGAACUUUGAGGUUGUCGAAAUCAGCAUCAUGUAAAUCUCUCAGUUCGUUGAUUGCAGCAUGGUUUUCGUUGAUUGCAGCAUGGUUUUCGUCAACGGCAGCACUGAGUCGGUCAAAUUUAUUAACGCUCAAGUCCCUCAUCUGUUCAAUAAGCUCUUCAAAUGUAUCACGGGACAUUGCUGGAGCAGCGGCAUCGACUGCAAUUGCUGGAACUUGCAGUAAGUUCCUCGAUGGAGAUGCUUGAUCUGGCCGCUGUCUUCUGUGCGGCACCGGAGAAAUUGAUUGCCUUGAAACGCCAGAUCGCCAAUCGUCCAGCCGCAAGUUUUUUAACCCGUGCAGUAAGUUAAUCGUCGGAUAGACAUUAUUUCUAAUGUAAGGACGCUUGAUACACGCCAACAGAAAUGCGACUGUCUUAUCCGGAAAAACCGCAUCGAUUUCCAGCCAGACUGGAUCAGCCGACGAGUCCUUUCUCAGAUACAUCAUGAAGGACGUCGUCAUCGAUGAAAUCCACUUGGUGACGGGAGAUGGUUGAUGAGCACCUCCCUGAUCACGUUCUGUCCUUUGUUACCCAGGAAUGUCGAUUAGAAAAACCUUUUUUUCCGUGGAUUUUCGUUCCUACUAUGAUGAAUUGACGUGGACUCCAUUAUCCUCUACAAAACGUCUUUCUAUGGUCGGCCGGAAUUCGCUAAAUUCCUCCCACGCCAACUCGUUCCAAGGGGUAAAGGAACUUUCCAGUGCAGUAGGGUCCUGGUUGCGCACGAUAUCCCGGAACUGGUUUCGUUUAGAGCCAUGAGAUGACCAUUCUUGUGCGACUUACCGGAAACGAAGAUCGUCUGGAGCUGCAUCGGAAAACAACGAGGAUGCCAGGCCCCGAAUUUUUCGUGCCGGAUCGCCGAUCAAGAUUGAUGACUUGCCGGAUCCAGUUCGGCCGAAUGCGAAAAUCACUGGCGUGACUUCGGUCCGAAGCUUGGUAUUGGAAGCAUUGAUAGUUGACCGGAUGAAGUUUACGGAGGAUUCGUAGUCCUCGACGAAAGCGUUAACCGUAAUUUCCAGGUUCGAAUACGCUAACUUAUUUCCGGUUAUCGUCAGAUCGGACUGUUGAGUAGCGGCAGAAACGCUCUGCCAACCUUUAACUAUGACGUUCAUCUUGCUACUAUGAAUAUACAACAGAGUAAAUCAUAUAUCUAUAAACAUUUAAUUAUGAGUGUAAAUAUAAAAACAUAUAUAUACAUGUAUACAUUUGUAUAUAUAUGCACAUUCAGCGACGAACUUCUAGGAUUAGAUUAAAAUAAUCACUGCUUAAUUCGCCAUAUACCAAAGGGUGAAAUUUUGUGAACCAUAACUCGUUAUCUGAAGAUAAGAAGAACUGAAGAUAAGAAGAGGAGUGAUUUAAAAAUAAAUUUGAGGGGAGAGAGACUUUUCAUCCAAGUACAUGACAGUUGAAGCUCUUCAGGUGUGUCUAUCCUAUAAGUCAACUAAAUAAAAUCAACUAAUAAAACAGAGACUUGUGGAUUGAAGCUGAUGCUCAGGUGACCAGUAACUGCCGAUGAAUUUCUCCUGUUGCCAGAAAUUGUUUUGUCGCAAGACUACAAACCCAGUAGUGCAAAUAACAAGAAAAAAAACUACUCUGGAAUUACUGGUGGGGAUUCAGCCUCUGGUAUUUUGUCAGCCGUCAAAUCCUCUAUUGCCGUUGGAAAAUCUUCUGUAUGAGGCACCAUCGGGUUCGAAUCUAUGGCAUCAAGUCACAGUGGAUAUUUCAUUUAAACAAAAAGUCAUUGAAUGACAAGUAUAUUAAUUGUUUUAUUUUUUGAAUUAAUUAUUAUUAUAAGUUUAGUUUAAAUUUGUUUUUUUAUAUAUGAUCAUAUAUUUAUACUAUAUAAUUUUUGAUUAUGAAAUAAUUAUAUCCGUGAUGGUCACAAGGAGCCUAGACUUCAUGGCCAAAAACCAAUAAUUAAAUUAAGAGAAAAAAAAAUAUAGUUAAUAGCUUUCAGUUAACGCUCUAGUAAGGUCGAAUAAAAAAUCACCAGACCUUAAAUUGUUAAAAGUUGAGCUUGAUCGGUCGGUAGGGACAUUUUUUAAAAAUGUUUUUUUUUAGAUAAGUUGUAAUGUAGUCGAUGGAUUGAUUGCAAAAUCUAAAGUUUUUGAUCACAAUACUUGUUAACGAUCAGAACGUUUAUAGAUUAAAAUAUAUUUUUUUUUAAUUUUCACUUAGGGGAGAUCUUUUGUCUCAAUCUUAAUUUUUUUUUUCGCCAUGUGUGUAAAAUAUUUGAGGCGCCCAACCGCGUGAAAGUAAUAUAUUUCAAAUAUUAUAUACUUAACGAUUCUUUGAUGCGUUAAUACAUAUUUAAAUAAUUAUUUAAAGUACAACUCAAAGUUUUAUUAGAAUUUAAUUAAAAAUAUUGUAAACUAUAAUUUAAUUUUUAUGAAACUGAAGUUAACCGACGUCUACUUUCUUCUGUAAAAAUUUAAUUUAUUUGUUUAAAAAAAAAAAUUAUCUGUUGUCUGCUUUCAUUAUCAUGAGAAUUUUUAACAGUUCGAGUUUUUUUGUUCAUGUACUAAAUGUAUGAUGAAAGCAGAAAUGAUUUGAUAUAUUAAAUUUAUCAGCGAUGCUAAAAGUAACAGACACCUGAAAAUUUUUUUUAAAAUCAUGAUACAAUUCUUUUUAAAUUGACGCAUUUUUAAAAUAUUUUCCUUAGUAUUUAUACUGUUUAUUAAAAGUAAAAAAAUUUUUAAAUGUCUUUUACUUUUAGCAUCAUAAUUUAUUAGUAUAAUAAAUAAAUUUGUCUCUUCUUAUA